rnacentral:hammerhead_ribozyme from 13 species
CUUGCUUAUGGACUCAGUUCACUGACGAGCUCGUGAGAUUCGAGCGAAAAGUAUC